GGAAAGGGUGUGGCUCAGUAGAGCAGCUGCUUGCUAUGCAGAAGGUCCCAGGUUCAAUUCCCAGCAUCUCCA
rnacentral:tRNA from 1 species